rnacentral:rRNA from 1 species
GACGAACGCUGGCGGCGUGCUUAACACAUGCAAGUCGAACGGAAAGGCCUGCUUUCCCUUGUGGGUUGCGGGUACUCGAGUGGCGAACGGGUGAGUAACACGUGAGUGAUCUGCCCCCAACUUGGGUAUAAGCCUGGGAAACUGGGUCUAAUUCCCGAUAGGACUGCAGGGUGGUGCCUGUGGUGGAAAACGAUUUUCUAGUGGUUGGGGAUGAGCUCGCGGCCUAUCAGCUUGUUGGUGGGGUAAUGGCCUACCAAGGCGGCGACGGGUAGCCGGCCUGAGAGGGUGGACGGGCACAUUGGGACUGAGAUACGGCCCAGACUCCUACGGGAGGCAGCAGUGGGGAAUAUUGCACAAUGGGCGGAAGCCUGAUGCAGCGACGCCGCGUGGGGGAUGACGGCCUUCGGGUUGUAAACUCCUUUCGACCGCGAGGAAGCCACCUGGUUGGAAGGGUGGUGACGGUAGUGGUAGAAGAAGCACCGGCUAACUACGUG